rnacentral:misc_RNA from 1 species
UUUGCUUGCGCAUUGGACGAUGCGUAGUUCGUUCCUAGGAUCAUCCGAUGUCAGUCAUGUUAGUCGUAUUCGCUCGCGGCGCGAAAUAACUGUGUAAAGGUUAGGUGGUGACGUUGCGACGCAUCGUGCCCCUAGGUGCCCCCGGUGCUCCUCGGAGUCACAACAAGUGCGCGACUGGUCGAAGAACCUUGCCUCCCCUCCCGGAGCUCCCGAGUGUGCACGAGCCAGCGGAAAGCGGCGCGAGCUCGCGGUGCCUGCUCUGUAGAGUCUCGACGCGUGUCAAGGAUCUCCGGAUUGCUCGAUUUCGUCUUUUGCGUCGAAAAUUACCGAGGAAGCCACGGAGCCUCUCCGAGACCACUCAAGAUUGGCUGGUUAGAAAAUCCUGCUUCCCUCGACGACCGGAUCGUCCAGAUAAGGAAUACCUCCCUGGGGGAAGUGACUGCGCCACGGCGCAGACACGCGGUUGCAACGUGGAACACCCUACCAUUGAUUCGGAGACCUUGGUGCACCCUGAGGGGAUCCGUUCCAGUGGGGUCGCUCGCGACUUCCUGGAACGUAGGAGACCUCGUCCUCGUGGCAUUUCCGAGAUACAGAUGGGAGCCACCGCCCGCAGGGAUCCUCGAGAUCGGUACCACAGGACCAUGUCCGACUCUCAGAUCGAGAUGCACUACACGCCACCCUCAUCGGAUACGAUACAAACCAAACCGUUCCCUAUAAGAGGCGAGCGGGCCAACUUCGUGAACAAGCCCCACGUGAUCGCCAUGGUCGGGCUGCCCGCCCGCGGCAAGACCUACAUCUCAAAGAAGCUCUGCAGGUACCUGAACUGGAUCGGCAUCAGCACGAAGGUGUUCAACCUGGGGGAGUACCGGAGGCACGCCACCUCGGCGUACAAGUGCCACGAGUUCUUCCGGCCGGACAACGUCAAGGCCAUGGCGAUCCGCACGCAGUGCGCGAUGGACGCCCUGAAGGACGUCUGCCAGUGGCUCGAGAGCGGCGACGGGAAGGUGGCCGUCUUCGACGCGACCAACUCCACGACCGACCGCCGCCAGAUGAUCCACGACAUAGUCGUCAAGAAGAUGGGCUUCAAGCUGUUCUUCGUCGAGUCGGUGUGCAACGACCCCGAGAUCGUCGAGCAGAACAUUAUGGAGGUUAAGGUCAGCAGCCCGGACUACGAGACCAUGGACAAGGAGGAGGUGCUGGCGGACUUCAUGCUGCGGAUCGAGCACUACCGCGAGCGCUACCAGCCGCUGGACGAGGACCGGGAGGCCAGCCUCUCCUUCAUGAAGAUCUACAACACCGGGGAGAAGGUUCUGGUCCACAAGCACGAGGGCCACAUACAGAGUCGGAUAGUCUAUUACCUGAUGAACAUCCACAUAGUGCCGAGGACGAUCUACCUGACCCGCCACGGGGAGAGCGCGAUGAACCUGGACGGCAGGAUCGGCGGGGACUCGGAUCUCAGCGAGAGGGGUCGGGCCUACGCCAACGAGCUCGCCGAGUACAUCGCCCAGCAGGACAUCCACGGGCUGCGGGUGUGGACCAGCUGGCUGAAGAGGUCCAUCCAGACCGCCAAGGAUGUCAACGUGCCCCAGGAGAGGUGGAAGGCUCUCAACGAGAUCGACGCCGGCAUCUGCGAGGAGAUGACGUACAGCCAGAUCGCGGAGAAGUACCCGGCGGAUUUUGCAGCGAGGGACCAGAACAAAUUCUCGUACAGAUACCCAAGGGGAGAGAGCUACGAGGACCUGGUGGCGCGACUCGAGCCCGUCAUCAUGGAGCUCGAGAGGCAAGGCAACGUCCUCGUCGUGAGCCAUCAAGCGGUCCUCAGGUGUCUGCUGGCGUACUUCCUGGAUAAGAACGCAGACGAGCUGCCGUACCUGCAGGUUCCUCUUCACACGAUAAUCAAGCUCACCCCGGUGGCUUAUGGCUGCAAGGUCGAGCACAUCCGGCUGCCCAUCGACGCCGUGGACACUCAUCGGCCGAAACCUAAGGUUCCUGGGUACUUGGAGGAGAGGUACAGGACGAGGCCGGGUAACCUCCAAACGUGACAGUAACGAUAACAAUUUGGGAUAGCUGACGCAUUCUUUUCGAGACGACGAAAUAGCAUUUUUGGCAGCUGGCUGCCUCUCGGAGUAUGUAGACACCGGAUCGAAUCAUCGUACUCGUCUCGUGACGUACUCCACUAUCGGUGACCCAAGGAGUACAGGAAAUUAUUAGUCGAUUCACUUUACGAAGCCACGAGAAGAACGUUCAUCGAUGCUUCGUCGGUCUGUUGAGUCAAAUGUAAUUUUUUAGUCAUGAAAUCGCAACCCAUGGAUUGGCAAUGGAAGAAAACACUUGGCACCGGUUUCCAAGGAAAAAAAAAAAAUGGAAAAUGUACCUCCAUUUGUCUCGAUUUAGUUGAAAUUACUACAAAGGAAACUUAAGCACGAGAGUACAAGCGAACCUUACUCCGUAUAAAGAAAGGGAACAUGUGAUACGAAUGUUAAAUUGUCGUUCUUGAGAUAUAUGCUCUUGGCAGAUGAAACCGUCGAAGUAACCUACACGAACCGAUAAAAGGGUAACUUAGCGGAACGUACCGUACCGGUCCCUGGACAAUCUUAAAUACCUCUAACAGUAAGCUAAGUCCAGUUUUCAGUCUUCCCACGAUAAAAAUAAUGCUUUGCUACGAAUUAAUAGUACAUUUCUAAGAUCCACUCAGCCGAUCACCCCCUAGCCUGGGUAGAAAAUAUUCUUACAUGUAAUAUCCGUCAUGUACGACGACUAAACUUCACCAAAAGAUAUUGUACUUGUUGAAAUAUAUUUUUUAUUAGACGA